rnacentral:rRNA from 1 species
AACGAACGCUGGCGGCAGGCCUAACACAUGCAAGUCGAGCGAAGCCUUCGGGCUUAGCGGCGGACGGGUGAGUAACGCGUGGGAACGUGCCCUUUGCUACGGAAUAGCCCCGGGAAACUGGGAGUAAUACCGUAUGUGCCCUUCGGGGGAAAGAUUUAUCGGCAAAGGAUCGGCCCGCGUUGGAUUAGGUAGUUGGUGGGGUAAUGGCCUACCAAGCCGACGAUCCAUAGCUGGUUUGAGAGGAUGAUCAGCCACACUGGGACUGAGACACGGCCCAGACUCCUACGGGAGGCAGCAGUGGGGAAUCUUAGACAAUGGGCGGAAGCCUGAUCUAGCCAUGCCGCGUGAUCGAUGAAGGCCUUAGGGUUGUAAAGAUCUUUCAGGUGGGAAGAUAAUGACUGUACCACCAGAAGAAGCCCCGGCUAACUCCGUGCCAGCCGCCGCCAGUAAGAC